rnacentral:rRNA from 1 species
UACGUAGGGGGCAAGCGUUGUCCGGAUUUAUUGGGCGUAAAGAGCGUGUAGGCGGCCAUGCAGGUCAGCUGUGAAAACUCGAGGCUCAACCUCGAGACGUCGGUUGAAACCGUAUGGCUAGAGUCCGGAAGAGGAGAGUGGAAUUCCCGGUGUAGCGGUGAAAUGCGCAGAUAUCGGGAAGGACACCUAUGGCGAAGGCAGCUCUCUGGGACGGUACUGACGCUGAGGAGCGAAAGCGUGGGGAGCGAACAGG